UAGAUACCCUGGUAGUCCACGCCGUAAACGAUGAUAACUAGCUGUCCGGGUUCAUGGAAUUUGGGUGGCGCAGCUAACGCAUUAAGUUAUCCGCCUGGGGAGUACGGUCGCAAGAUUAAAACUCAAAGGAAUUGACGGGGGCCUGCACAAGCGGUGGAGCAUGUGGUUUAAUUCGAAGCAACGCGCAGAACCUUACCAGCGUUUGACAUCCCGAUCGCGGAUUUGAGAGAUCAUUUCCUUCAGUUUGGCU
rnacentral:rRNA from 1 species